rnacentral:rRNA from 1 species
AUCAUGAUUUACAUUUGAGUGAGUGGCGAACUGGUGAGUAACACGUGGGAAACCUGCCCAGAAGCGGGGGAUAACACCUGGAAACAGAUGCUAAUACCGUAUAACAGAGAAAACCGCAUGGUUUCUUUUAAAAGAUGGCUCUGCUAUCACUUCUGGAUGGACCCGCGGCGUAUUAGCUAGUUGGUGAGGUAAAGGCUCACCAAGGCAGUGAUACGUAGCCGACCUGAGAGGGUAAUCGGCCACAUUGGGACUGAAACACGGCCCAGACUCC